UGGGGAAUCUUGCACAAUGGGCGAAAGCCUGAUGCAGCGACGCCGCGUGGGGGACGAAUGCCUUCGGGUUGUAAACCCCUUUCGGCAGGGACGAAGCGCAAGUGACGGUACCUGCAGAAGAAGCUCCGGCUAACUACGUGCCAGCAGCCGCGGUAAGACGUAGGGAGCGAGCGUUGUCCGGAUUCAUUGGGCGUAAAGCGCGCGUAGGCGGUUUGGCAAGUCGGAUGUGAAAUCCCGAGGCUCAACCUCGGGACUGCAUCCGAUACUGCCCGACUAGAGGUAGGUAGGGGAGAUCGGAAUUCCUGGUGUAGCGGUGAAAUGCGCAGAUAUCAGGAGGAACACCGGUGGCGAAGGCGGAUCUCUGGGCCUUACCUGACGCUGAGGCGCGAAAGCUAGGGGAGCGAACAGG
rnacentral:rRNA from 1 species